AACGCACCUUGCGCUCCCUGGUAUUCCGGGGAGCACGCCUGUUCGAGUGUCGUAAAAUUCUCAAACUGGGAUGCUUUUUUGUUUCUCGGCUUGGUGUUGGGCUUUGCAGUUCCUUUGAUUGGGAUAGCUGGCCUCAAAAGCAUUAGCUGGCUUUUCAUGUGGCAUUGGUUCUACUCAGCGUGAUAAUGAUCUGACCGCCGAGGACAUCUUUCGGGAUGGCCAAUUCUCAUUUGGGCUGCUUCUAAUUUUGGUAGAGCGGAUUCUGAAUCUGUUCCACUUUUCAGCUUUUGACCUCGAAUCAGGUGGGACUACCCGCUGAACUUAA
rnacentral:misc_RNA from 1 species